GAAAAUUUAGAGGGAUUUUGUAAACUAAAUAAACAAGUCAUACAGAGAAAUCACAAUCAAACUGCAUCAGCUGAAUUUUCUAGCAUUCUUUGCUUUUAAAUACGUAGUGAUUCAUCUCAGACAUUUAUUUUUAUUUUGUUUCUUCUAAUCCUGCAGACAUGGGAAGAAUUUCCAUUUUGCAGUGCAAAUGGACCUGCCACAACAAUCCAGUGAGGCUGGUAACUCAAGUAGCACUAAAGGAAAGCACAAGUCCUCAUCUGGUUGUCAGACCGAGUUUAGGAAAACAGCGUGUUACUUCCAUCUGCUGAGAAAUGCUGCCCACUGCCUCCCUGGCUGCACACAGCAGGCUCCCAGCUCAUGAACAGUGUGGACAUGCUGGCAUCCGUGUGGUGCAGGAGGUGCUCCCCAGGCUGCAUCUGACCCUACAGCAAUGGUGCACAAGGGCUGCAGUUUACUGUGAACACUGGCCUUGCAUGUGGGAGAAGCAAGUUCACUUUUGUCAGCUCUCCCUGCCUCCAGGAAUAGCCUAAUGUCAGAGUAAGUUUUGCUCUUCCUGAUUUUCAUUCUUAACAUGGCAAUUGUUGAUCUUGAAGCUGUCACCAUAUGAGUAAGCACAUAAAAUUCAGGACUCAUAGAUAAGCAAAAUGAAAUUUGUUUCUGUAGGCAGAGAUUACAGCAGUCCUUCGGGACUUGAGUUAAAGUCUUAUUUGAUUCUGCUUUGUUAAAGGCUGUGAAAAAUAAAAUAUAAAGAUAUUUAUAUCUCCCUCA
rnacentral:lncRNA from 1 species